rnacentral:rRNA from 1 species
AUAUUGGUCAAUGGGCGCAGGCCUGAACCAGCCAAGUAGCGUGAAGGAUGACUGCCCUAUGGGUUGUAAACUUCUUUUAUAAAGGAAUAAAGUCGGGUAUGUAUACCCGCUUGCAUGUACUUUAUGAAUAAGGAUCGGCUAACUCCGUGCCAGUAGCCGCGGUAAUACGGAGGAUCCGAGCGUUAUCCGGAUUUAUUGGGUUUAAAGGGAGCGUAGAUGGAUGUUUAAGUCAGUUGUGAAAGUUUGCGGCUCAACCGUAAAAUUGCAGUUGAUACUGGAUAUCUUGAGUGCAGUUGAGGCAGGCGGAAUUCGUGGUGUAGCGGUGAAAUGCUUAGAUAUCACGAAGAACUCCGAUUGCGAAGGCAGCCUGCUAAGCUGCAACUGACAUUGAGGCUCGAAAGUGUGGGUAUCAAACAGG